rnacentral:sRNA from 1 species
GGAGGUGCUCUCAAGACUUAUUUUUAGCAAGGAGAGACGGAAAAUGG